CGUUGGUUUACCAGCGAGUGGCGGACGGGUGAGUAACACGUAGGUAACCUGCCCCAAAGCGGGGGAUAACAUUUGGAAACAGAUGCUAAUACCGCAUAACAAUUUGAAUCGCAUGAUUCAAAUUUAAAAGAUGGUUUCGGCUAUCACUUUGGGAUGGACCUGCGGCGCAUUAGCUUGUUGGUAGGGUAACGGCCUACCAAGGCUGUGAUGCGUAGCCGAGUUGAGAGACUGAUCGGCCACAAUGGAACUGAGACACGGUCCAUACUCCUACGGGAGGCAGCAGUAGGGAAUCUUCCACAAUGGGCGCAAGCCUGAUGGAGCAACACCGCGUGAGUGAAGAAGGGUUUCGGCUCGUAAAGCUCUGUUGUUAGAGAAGAACGUGCGUGAGAGCAACUGUUCACGCAGUGACGGUAUCUAACCAGAAAGUCACGGCUAACUACGUGCCAGCAGCCGCGGUAAUACGUAGGUGGCAAGCGUUAUCCGGAUUUAUUGGGCGUAAAGCGAGCGCAGGCGGUUUGAUAAGUCUGAUGUGAAAGCCUUUGGCUUAACCAAAGAAGUGCAUCGGAAACUGUCAGACUUGAG
rnacentral:rRNA from 2 species